AUUGAACGCUGGCGGCAUGCUUUACACAUGCAAGUCGAACGGCCGCGCGGGCUUCGGCCUGGCGGCGAGUGGCGCACGGGUGAGUAAUACAUCGGAACGUGCCCAGGAGAGGGGGAUAGCUCGGCGAAAGCCGGAUUAAUACCGCAUACGACCUGAGGGUGAAAGCGGGGGAUCUUCGGACCUCGCGCUAUUGGAGCGGCCGAUGGCAGAUUAGCUAGUUGGUGGGGUAAAGGCCUACCAAGGCGACGAUCUGUAGCUGGUCUGAGAGGACGACAAGCCACACGGGGACUGAGACACGGCCCAGACUCCUACGGGAGGCAGCGUUGGGGAAUUUUGGACAAAGGGCGAAGGCCUGAUCCAGCAAUGCCGCGUGUGUGAUGAAGUCCUUCGGGUUGUAAAGCACUUUUGGCGGGAACGAAAAGGACUGUGCCAAUACCACGGUUCGAUGACGGUACCCUAAGAAUAAGCACCGGCUAACUACGUG
rnacentral:rRNA from 1 species